CACGUAGGGACCAAGCGUUGUCCGGAUUUAUUGGGCGUAAAGAGCUCGUAGGCGGUUUCGUAAGUCAGAUGUGAAAGCCCCGGGCUCAACCUGGGAAUUGCAUUUGAAACUGCGAGGCUAGAGUGUGUCAGAGGGGGGUAGAAUUCCACGUGUAGCAGUGAAAUGCGUAGAGAUGUGGAGGAAUACCGAUGGCGAAGGCAGCCCCCUGGGAUAACACUGACGCUCAUGCACGAAAGCGUGGGGAGCAAACAGG
rnacentral:rRNA from 1 species